GAACGCUAGCGACAGGCCUAACACAUGCAAGUCGAGGGGCAGCACAAGGAGCAAUCUGAGGUGGCGACCGGCGCACGGGUGAGUAACACGUAUGCAACCUGCCUGUAAGCGGGGAAUAACCCGUUGAAAGACGGACUAAUACCGCAUAAUACUAAAUUACUGCAUGGUAAUUUAUUUAAACAUUUAUGGCUUACAGAUGGGCAUGCGCAUGAUUAGCUAGUUGGAGAGGUAACGGCUCCCCAAGGCAACGAUCAUUAGGGGUUCUGAGAGGAAGGUCCCCCCACACUGGUACUGAGACACGGACCAGACUCCUACGGGAGGCAGCAGUGAGGAAUAUUGGUCAAUGGACGAGAGUCUGAACCAGCCAAGUCGCGUGCAGGAAGAAUUGUCCUAUGGAUUGUAAACUGCUUUUGCAGGGGAAUAAAGUGCAUCACGUGUGAUGUUUUGUAUGUACUCUGCGAAUAAGGAUCGGCUAACUCCGUGCCAGCCGCCGC
rnacentral:rRNA from 1 species